rfam:Streptomyces subrutilus strain 10-1-1 1, whole genome shotgun sequence.
UGAAUCCGCGCGGGAGAGUCCCGGCACGCCGCGAGGCCGUGCACGGGCGCCGAAGGAGCAAGAACCUCCCUUGAAUCUCUCAGGCCCCGUACCGCGUGGAUGAG